rnacentral:rRNA from 1 species
ACUCCUACGGGAGGCAGCAGUAGGGAAUCUUCCACAAUGGACGAAAGUACUGAUGGAGCAACGCCGCGUGAGUGAAGAAGGGUUUCGGCUCGUAAAACUCUGUUGUUAAAGAAGAACAUAUCUGAGAGUAACUGUUCAGGUAUUGACGGUAUUUAACCAGAAAGCCACGGCUAACUACGUGCCAGCAGCCGCGGUAAUACGUAGGUGGCAAGCGUUGUCCGGAUUUAUUGGGGCGUAAAGCGAGCGCAGGCGGUUUUUAAGUCUGAUGUGAAAGCCUUCGGCUCAACCGAAGAAGUGCAUCGGAAACUGGGAAACUUGAGUGCAGAAGAGGACAGUGGAACUCCAUGUGUAGCGGUGAAAUGCGUAGAUAUAUGGAAGAACACCAGUGGCGAAGGCGGCUGUCUGGUCUGUAACUGACGCUGAGGCUCGAAAGUAUGGGUAGCAAACAGGAUUAGAUACCCUGGUAGGAUAGCG